GACGAACCGUGCGAACGUUGUUCGGAAUCACUGGGCUUAAAGGGCGCGUAGGCGGGCUGUCAAGUUUGGGGUGAAAUCCCGCGGCUCAACCGUGGAACUGCCUCAAAUACUGACGGCCUCGAGGAAGGUAGGGGCAUGCGGAACUGUAGGUGGAGCGGUGAAAUGCGUUGAUAUCUACAGGAACUCCGGUGGCGAAAGCGGCGUGCUGGACCUUUUCUGACGCUGAGGCGCGAAAGCUAGGGGAGCAAACGGGG
rnacentral:rRNA from 1 species